AUCUCACACACAAUGGCGGAGGCAAGGGGGCACGGGGGUGUGCGGAAGCACCCCCUUGCUCCCGGAAAUUCCACCAACGACGUCCACCAAGGAUCUCAUUCCUUCCUCCUCCCGAUCGUUCCCUCUCCUCCGAUCUCGACACCAGAGCUCCCAUCGAACCCUACCUCCGUUGCAAACUUCAAUGAGAUGGAGGUGGACGGCGACAAUAGAGAUGUGGCCGACGAGUAGGAUGGCCGAGACGGUGGGGGAGAAGAGGAAGUGAAUAUCAAAUUGGAGGUUUGUAAGUGUGGUAAGACGUUCCAAGCCUCCAACUACAUUCCGUACCUGGAUAAUUGGAAGGCCAUCAAGAAGCUCUAGUCACGACAACUCAUGGAGCACUGAGAGAAACAUUGCCCCAAGCCUAGCCUCAGGUAUCUUGUGUCGCUACCGUGGAGGUACAAUGUGUCGGUUCCAUGGCCCAAGAGCAGAGAUAUGGUGAGAUUGAUUCUUGGAAUCUUCUAGCCAUCAAUGGGGGAGGGCACACAAGGGGUCCUUGAUGUUGGUUGUGGUGUUGCAAGCUUUGGUGGAUAUUUAAGGGAUAGGAUCCGAUACAAUUUGCAUUAGAGUGUGGUAUUCCAGCCUUUUUAUCGGUGGGAAGCUACUAGAGCUCAAUAAGAUUCUUAGACCUGGAGGUUUCUUUGUUUGGUCUCCAACACAUGUUUACCGCUACUGAGAGGGACCAAAGCAUCUGGAAGUGUAGUGACAUUUGUCAAUUUCUUUAAAUUUCAUGAUCUCCUUUGUCAUCAACAAUACUACGUGGCUUUCGGAAGCUACACUAUCUUAAAUUUUUAACUAGCACCCUUUUAAAUUUUUGUCUGGAUCCG